ensembl:rRNA 5S_rRNA 5S ribosomal RNA
GUCUAUGGCCUUACCACCCUGAACACAUCCGAUCUUGUCUGAUCUCAGAAGUUAAGCAGGGUCGGGCCUGGUUCGUACUUGGAUGGGAGAAAAGUAAAGAUGGUAUACUUU